UACGAGGGGUCCUAGCGUUGUUCGGAAUCAUUGGGCGUAAAGAGCUCGUAGGCGGUUUGUUGCGUCGGCUGUGAAAUCCCGAGGCUCAACCUCGGGUCUGCAGUCGAUACGAGCAAACUAGAGUGUUGCAGGGGAGACUGGAAUUCCUGGUGUAGCGGUGAAAUGCGCAGAUAUCAGGAGGAACACCGGUGGCGAAGGCGGGUCUCUGGGCAACAACUGACGUGGAGGAGCGAAAAGCCGUGGGGGAGCGAACAGG
rnacentral:rRNA from 1 species